rnacentral:rRNA from 1 species
UACAGAGGUCCCGAGCGUUGUUCGGAUUCACUGGGCGUAAAGGGUGCGUAGGUGGUGGGGUAAGUCUCGUGUGAAAGCUCGCAGCUUAACUGCGAAAAGUCACGGGAUACUAUCCGGCUAGAGGCUUGGAGGGGGGACUGGAAUACUUGGUGUAGCAGUGAAAUGCGUAGAUAUCGUAAGGAAGACCAGUGGCGAAGGCGGGUCUCUGGACAGUUCCUGACGCUGAGGCACGAAGGUCAGGGGAGCAAACGGG